UAUAUAUAUAUAUAUAUAUAUAUAUAUAUAUAUAUAUAUAUAUAUAUAUAUAUAUAUAUAUAUAUGUAUAGUACAUCAUUUGUUUAUUUGAACUAACAUAUAGUCACAAAAUUUAUUUUAAUUAAGUUAACAUGUUUAAGAGACACACAGACAAAUGUACAGAUGAUCCCUGCAUAUGCCCCAGAUUCACAGACUGUCGAUAGCUUGUAUGUCCAAACCAAGUUUUACCACAACUGAAAUGUGUUUCUCUAGAUAUACAUUACAUACUGUGUAUAUUAUAUAAAUGUAACAUACAGACGGUCAGACAAUCAGCUGCCAUAUAACCCCAGGUUCCCAUUCAAUUCGAAGACGACCAACAAAGACAUUAUAUAUGGGAUAUGCCUGCCCAUUGGGUAGGUAUCGCUGAGCUCUCUAUACCAAAGCUGCCGAUAGACCCCUUCCUUGAAUGAUGCACUCGGUCCCGCCCACCGAGGGGAUAAAACUGCUAUCCAAAGGAAGCCAUUUCUCUUUUUCCUUCUCAAGAUGAUUAGGUAAGACCUCUGUGUUUAGCUGAGCGUAUUGAUAGAAAAGAGCUUCUCGAGUCGAAUCGGUUCAAUUGUAUUUCCCUUGCAUUCCUGCUGAAAGCUGGCUUACCACUUUCCCGGAAUCAACGACUUUGAAAAGAUCGAGCCUUUUUGCCUUUGUCUUUCAGCGGCCUCCUUGCUUGUGUGGUAGGCCGCUCUUUGUUAUCUGUCUGUCGUGUGUGAGCGACUGCCUGUGCAGUCAUCCACGAGCGGUUGUCUUUUCUUCCAGAGAGUACACAGUUCCUCCACGGGGCUAGGCCUUGCUGUAUCCCCGCUGCUGAGUGACUUCCAGCCACGUCUCCUCCACUGGGCUAGGCCUUGCUGCAUCCCCACUGUCGAGUAGACCCUCUAAUCUGUGUAGGCCCGCCCACCACGGUGUAUCGGGUCUUGUAUUAUCUUUGAGCUAAAAUAUAUAUAUAUAUAUAUAUAUAUAUAUAUAUAUAUAUAUAUAUAUAUAUAUAUAUAUAUAUAUAUAUAUAUAUAUGUAUAUGUAUAUGCAGUUUUGCUUUUGUGGAUGAGGAAAAAAAAGUUACAAGAAAUAGAUGACAUGUAUUGGAACUAAAUUUCCUGUGCCAUUAGAGGAAAAUCAGACCCAUAGAAGGAUAUUACCACCUCCAUGCUUGACAGUAGGUAUGGUGUUCUUUUGUUUGUACACCUUACCAGACUUUCUCCAAACAAAGCGGAAUGUUGUCAGCAGUUGGACGACCAGAGUCUAAAUACAGCUAUGCUUGUUUGGAAACACGAAACCACUGCAAAACACUGGGAGUGGAAAACCCUGUGUGUGUUGUGGCCGACCACCUCUUCCCAGAUGGGAGAGUUAUUGCAGGACAUUUACAGGCUUUGGAAUUUUUUACAGAAGAGUCCUUGACAAGUGUCUUAAAGAAACUGGACAUACAGAAACCAAAUAUUAGUCUAUUCCAAUGUUGAUGCCAAGAAGUAUAUGCACAGAAUCAGCUUGUUUCCCCUGUGAAAUAGGAACAGACAAUGCAUGCAGUUUAUGAAAGAGUACAAGGGGUUGAGUUUCCAGAGACAUAUGAAGUGGGACCAGGGAACCAGCUAAACAUGUUGGUUUAAAUGUAUUUGAUGACGAAAAUGUUCCAAAAUUCAUAUAAGAGAAUUUAUACAUGCAGAUACCAUACAAAAGUUUGUAUUUUCCUCUGUCACCCUUAGAAGUAACCUCUCCACUGUUUACCUGUUUCUGUAUAUAACGGGAUGUUGGAAAUUAAAAAAUGUGCCCCUUUGCUAGCAAACCAUUUUUUUCUAGGCUAGUGUUUUGGCUGUAACUUAUAUGAGGGGGGGGCAAGGUAAAACUGAAGGAAAUAAAGUAGGUGCUAAUCUGA